rnacentral:tRNA from 1 species
GCUCAUUUGGUUAAGUGUCUUAACUCCUGAUUUUGAUUCAGGUCAUGAUCCAUAGUUCGUGGGUUCAAGCCCUAUACUGGUCU